UUGUUUAAUUGUGCUCAGCCAUUUUCUCUCACAGACUGAUAACUUGAACUGAGGUGCGCUGACUGAUUCUACAGAGAGCCGUCCAGCUUGUUGAUCAAAGACAAAUCCCCAGGAGAGCACUGAGGUGAAACAAAGUGAGAGCAGUUAUGAUCGUUCACAUGAGAUGGAGUCUCUUUAUUUUAUGGUUUUUACAUCAUGUAGACUUCUCCUGGGCAGAGAGGUUCACUGUUGUUGGUCCUUCUCCUUCCAUUGUUUCUUACGUUGGUGAAGAUGUCAUCCUGCUCGCCUCCCUGUC